rnacentral:rRNA from 1 species
CCUACGGGUGGCAGCAGUGAGGAAUAUUGGUCAAUGGGCGGGAGCCUGAACCAGCCAAGUCGCGUGAGGGAAGACGGUCCUAUGGAUUGUAAACCUCUUUAGGCGGGGAGCAAUGCCGGGCACGUGUGCCCGGAGGGAGAGUACCCGCAGAAUAAGCAUCGGCUAACUCCGUGCCAGCAGCCGCGGUAAGACGGAGGAUGCGAGCUGUAUCCGUAUUUAUUGGGGUUAAAGGGUGCGAAGGCGGAUUAUUCAUUCAGCGGUAAAAUGUCCGGGCUCAACCCGGGCCGGUCGUUGAGACUGGGGAUCUUGAGUGGGCUAGAGGUAUGCGGAAUGAGUGGUGUAGCGGUGAAAUGCAUAGAUAUAACGCAGAACUCCGAUUGCGAAGGCAGCAUACCGGCGCCCGACUGACGCUGAGGCACGAAAGCGUGGGGAUCGAACAGGAUUAGAUACCCGAGUAGUC